ACGGAUAUGAUGGAAAUGGUAGACAUGUCAGGUUUAGGUUUUGAUGAAUAUUAUUCAUGAGGGUUCAAGUCCCUCUAUCCGUAC
rnacentral:tRNA from 1 species